rfam:Castellaniella defragrans 65Phen complete genome
AUGCUGCCCCCAUGCCUGCUGACGUUGUCAGCGACAUGCCAGGCAACCAUCGGUCUUCGAGGUUGCGACGCAGUUCCCACUGCGUGACCGAGCCAGCUCGCACCGCAUCCGUCCGCGAGCGGCCACCAGUCUCUGGUGGCGGAUGC